GCACCAGCAAAAUCUGGUGCCGGGAUUUGCACCCCGCCGAAUACUCACAGCGCAUAACCGCGUUAGCGGUUUUUUU
rnacentral:sRNA from 1 species